CUUGACGACCAUAGAGCGUUGGAACCACCUGAUCCCAUCCCGAACUCAGUAGUGAAACGAUGCAUCGCCGAUGGUAGUGUGGAGCUUCUCCAUGUGAGAGUAGGUCAUCGUCAAGA
rnacentral:rRNA from 1 species